rnacentral:rRNA from 1 species
UACGUAGGUGGCAAGCGUUGUCCGGAUUUAUUGGGCGUAAAGCGAGCGCAGGCGGAAAGAUAAGUCUGAUGUGAAAGCCCCCGGCUUAACCGAGGAAUUGCAUCGGAAACUGUGUUUCUUGAGUGCAGAAGAGGAGAGUGGAACUCCAUGUGUAGCGGUGGAAUGCGUAGAUAUAUGGAAGAACACCAGUGGCGAAGGCGGCUCUCUGGGUCUGUAACUG